rnacentral:rRNA from 1 species
GGCGGACGGGUGAGUAACGCGUAGGAAUCUACCUAGUAGAAGGGGAUAGCCCGGGGAAACCCGGAUUAAUACCGUAUACCUCCUUCGGGAGAAAGAAGGCCUCUCUUUGAAGCUUUCGCUAUUAGAUGAGCCUGCGUAAGAUUAGCUUGUUGGUGAGGUAAAGGCUCACCAAGGCGACGAUCUUUAGCUGGUCUGAGAGGACGAUCAGCCACAUUGGGACUGAGACACGGCCCAGACUCCUACGGGAGGCAGCAGUGGGGAAUAUUGGACAAUGGGCGCAAGCCUGAUCCAGCCAUACCGCGUGUGUGAAGAAGGCCUUCGGGUUGUAAAGCACUUUAAGCAGGGAGAAAAAGUUAUAAGUUAAUACCUUAUAACCGUGAUGUUGCCUGCAGAAUAAGCACCGGCUAAUUCCGUGCCAGCAGCCGCGGUAAUACGGAAGGUGCAAGCGUUAAUCGGAAUUACUGGGCGUAAAGCGCGC